AACUCUCAAGCAGAGAUAGCUUUGUUGCUGUUUUUGCUUGGAUUUGGACUUUGCUGUGUCAAUGCGGCUGGUCUUAAAUGUAUUAGCUGAUCCUUAUGGUGGUUUGGUUCUACUCAGCGUGAUAAUUAUCUAGCGUUGAGGACAGUCUUAGGACUGGCCAGAGCUUAUAUUUGGAUUGCUUCUAAUUGUCCUUUGGACAUAUUAAUCAAUU
rnacentral:misc_RNA from 1 species